UUCAAAGUACAUAAUUUCUUGUGCUCCUCAGGCUACAAAAGCUUACAACAGCAGUAAAACUGGUUGAAGCCACAUCUAAAAGCUUCCGUUUGCAGCCUGAUUCCAGACAUGACGGUAGCGGCAACUACCAAAUAAACGUAUUCCUUCAAGUUACUGAAAUCCCCCUGCAAAUUCCAUCCAAGAGAAAGUGCAACAGAGAAAUUUCCUCGAGAUGAAUAUGCUGACCCAAAAAAUGAUGAGGAUGAAAAGCGUGACUAUCUGGGAGAUGAAGACAAUGCGGAUAACUUAAAGACCAAAAUCAUAGAAAUUCAACUAGCACGAGGACUAUCAUUUGCCAUUACUGCAAAGGUCAAGGAAAGGGUGCUGCCAAAGCUACAAGAAGUAAAAAGGGCAGUGACCAUGGAAGGAGUCGACCUCCAUCGGCAAACAAAAGCUCUCAGCCUGAAUGGAUGAGUACAACUUUUCUGGUUAAGCUAAAAGCUCUGAAUAUUUCCAUUGGCUGCUCAGUUGCACUUUAAAAAGUGAAUCAUUUUCAUCAUUAUUUUCAUUCUACAGUAUGAAAUUUAGCAAGUGUAAAGCAUUUGUGCUUUAAAUUAGUAACCUGUAUUGACAGAUACCAUUAACCGCCAAGAUAGAAGGCUCUGUCCAACUUUGUAUCUGCUCGUCUCUAUAUCUAUGAUUCACAUAUGUCAACAAAUUACAAGGUGAUUGAAUUUUA